CCGCGAUGUCGGGCGGCCUCGGCCGCGGGGCCCUCAACCUCGCCGGCGUCGAGUCGGUGCUGCGCCGCGCGUUCGAGACGGACGACGCGGUC
rnacentral:tRNA from 1 species